AGGCACACCCUUGCAGAAGCCAGUUAUGAUCGCACAGUCUGAGUGGAGCAUAUUGCGUGAUCAGCAUCUCCCUGAACAAACAGUCUCUAUAGGUUUGAAAACAACUUCACCUAUACUACCUGAUCGCCCUGAAAGAAGCAACAAAACACCAACUGACAUUUUACCUCAGAUUUCUUUUUCUGGUUCCACUGAUACAAGAGGUCAAAUUUCAGAAUUGCCUGCAGAAGUAACAGAUAUUGGUUUUGGUAACCGCUGUGGAAAGCCCAGAGGACCAAGAGAGCCACCUUCAGAAUGGACAUGAUCCAAGAACCAAUGGACAUACUAUCAAUAAAUUAUACUGGAAAACUCAAGUGCCACUGAGAGCUAGAAAAAUAGUAUUCCACUUUUCUGGGAGGCAACUAACACAGAGCAGUGUAGAUCUAACUACCAAAUGGUACACUCUUACAGUACAUCCCAUGCAAAACUUUAAACAUUGUUCACAACAGUGGAUUCCAGUAUUACAACUUAACUUUUUGCUGGGGCCAUCUACCUGCCUUAUUACACUUAGGAGAAAGUAUUACAUAUGAUUUAUUUUGUAACUUCAAGUAUUAUUGCCUUAACGUCUUUUAACCCUGUUACACGCUGCUUGUAGACAUAUGUUAAUAUAGUAAUACUUUUGACAGAUUGUGUUUAUGGACUACUUUUUGCUAACGUUUGAUUACCAUGUAUGCAUUAUUUUGUAUAUGUACAGGGCAAGUAAGUAUAUAAUUUGAUAAAGUUGCAAUCAUAAAAUAUUAACAGAAGAUGUAAGAAAUCUCUGCAUGAUCUAAAUUUUUGUGUACCUUAUUUGUAAAUUAUUUGCCCUGAAGUUUUAGAAAAUAGUUUCUGGGGUUUUUUACAAAAAUUGCUGGACACAGACAGCCAGAAUUGCAGGUUAGCAGAGAUAAAGAUUGUAAUACAUUUUGUAAAUUGUAAGCAAAAGGUUAUUUUUAUAUUAUAUACUGUUUAAUUGUCAGACCUAAUUUGUUCUGGUUUUCAUCUAGUCAUGGAGAUUCAGUAAGUGCCUUGAAACAGUAUUGAAUUCUCUUAGCCUGUGUAUGUUACUUCAGUGUUUUGAGUUCAUCUGGAAUUAGAUUAUAAAAAAAUAUUUGUAUGUUUCUAGUAUAUUUGACCUGCCAGUAAAAGAGAAACCAUUCUACAUAAUCAACACUCCUUAGUUUUCAUUUUAAUGUUUCAUCAGUUGCAAUCUUUAGAAAAUUCAUCUCUAUCAACUUUCUGUAUAAUAGGAUUUUACAGUUUUAAUAUGGCGUGUUUCUAAUUUGGGAAAACCAGAACACACUGGUAAAAGGACUGUUUAAAUACCACUGUCUUCUCUUACAAAUGGUAAAUACCAUUUUUGUUGUUCAGCGACUGUGUAUGUAAGAAAGCAACUUAUAUGAAGGUUCACAUAGAGCCCUUGCAGCUACACUGUAUCUUGGCAAUAUAUUAUGUCAAGAGUCAAUCCUUAUAAGGAUUCCUUACUUAAACUUUUCUGUAAUACAAUCUUUAAAUUAAAGAAAGUCAAAAUCUCACUAUGGGUGUUUUUACUCUUAGGAAAAAAUCUGCAUUCAGAAGCAAACUAAAAUAGAGUGAAGGAUGGCAGUCUGGCUUAGCUUAUAGAUCUCCUACGUGAACAAAAUAGUGAACCUCAGGAUUUUAUUUUUAGAAACUACUUUAAAAGUUUUGGCUAGCAAUGAUACUGGAGAAGUGAAGAAGAAUGUUUAGAGGAAAAAAAAUUAUUUUAGUGAAACUAUUAAUCUGAUCUUUAGCCAUGGAAACAUUACAUCCAAUUUGCUACUUGUACCUUUAGGGCCUCUCUGCUAAAAGAAAGCUAAUGCCCAGAUAGCAGCCGUAUUAUAACUUCCAAGAGGUACAUAACUUGCAAUUACUGUCUUUGACUGUGGAUUAAUCACGAUGUAUUUGGUACUCAUGACAGACUGCCUAGCUGGGGAGCUCUUUCA
ensembl:lncRNA